AACCUGGUUGAUCCUGCCAGUAGUCAUAUGCUUGUCUCAAAGACUAAGCCAUGCACGUCUAAGUACAAACUAAAUGAUGGUGAAACUGCAAAUGGCUCAUCACAACGGUUAUGAUGUACCCGGGAGUUCCGAUGGAUAUUUCCAGUAACACUAGAACUAAUACAUGCUCCUGCGUNUAUUAGUUUCGCACAGUCCGUCGCUGAGUCAUGGUAAACAGUUGAUCGACUCGACGUCCCGGAACAGUUUCCGCCCCAUCAGCUUCGAUGGUUGGGUAUUGGCCUACCAUUGCAACAACGGGUAACGAGGAAUUAGGGUUUGAUUUCGGAGAGGGAGCCUGAGAAACGGCUACCACAUCUACGGAUGGCAGCAGGCGCGCAAAUUACCCAAUGCAGACACUGUGAGGUAGUGACGAGAAAUAAUAAAGCGGGACUUCUGU
rnacentral:rRNA from 1 species